UCGUAACAAGGUCUCCGUUGGUGAACCAGCGGAGGGAUCAUUACUGAGUUUACGCUCUACAACCCUUUGUGAACAUACCUAUAACUGUUGCUUCGGCGGGUAGGGUCUCCGCGACCCUCCCGGCCUCCCGCCUCCGGGCGGGUCGGCGCCCGCCGGAGGAUAACCAAACUCUGAUUUAACGACGUUUCUUCUGAGUGGUACAAGCAAAUAAUCAAAACUUUUAACAACGGAUCUCUUGGUUCUGGCAUCGAUGAAGAACGCAGCGAAAUGCGAUAAGUAAUGUGAAUUGCAGAAUUCAGUGAAUCAUCGAAUCUUUGAACGCACAUUGCGCCCGCCAGCAUUCUGGCGGGCAUGCCUGUUCGAGCGUCAUUUCAACCCUCAAGCUCUGCUUGGUGUUGGGGCCCUACAGCUGAUGUAGGCCCUCAAAGGUAGUGGCGGACCCUCUCGGAGCCUCCUUUGCGUAGUAACUUUACGUCUCGCACUGGGAUCCGGAGGGACUCUUGCCGUAAAACCCCCAAUUUUCCAAAGGUUGACCUCGGAUCAGGUAGGAAUACCCGCUGAACUUAAGCAUAUCAAU
rnacentral:rRNA from 1 species